GGGGGGGGGGGGGGGGGGAAGCCUUCCUCUUUCCUUCGGUGAAGACCCUCCGCAAGUUGCUCACAAUUUCUCCGCCGAUUCCUCGCCGGAAAGGUCGCCGGAGCACGCCGUCGGACCGAGGGGGACAAUCUAUUGGACGAGAGGACGCUGAGCGGAGUCCUGCGCAUUCCGGUUCAUAGAUCGCCGUGAGGACGGUGAUUAGUUUGUCUGAGUUUUCAACAAAGUAGUUGCAGGAUGCUUAGAUUUAGAUGCGAUGGGCGCAGCGUGCGAGUACCAGAGUCAUUAGUUAGUUUAUUUGUUUAUCCUUCUUUGAUGUCGAUGAACAUUUGAAGAUAUUGUAAUUGAACUAAUUUGUUUAUUUGGAUAUGUCGGACUUGUCUAUUUGAA